rnacentral:rRNA from 1 species
GACGAACGCUGGCGGCGUGCCUAACACAUGCAAGUCGAACGGAGAUGUUGAUUUCGGUUGACGUCUUAGUGGCGAACGGGUGAGUAACGCGUGAACAAUCUGACCUUAAGAGGGGGAUAACAACGAGAAAUCGUUGCUAAUACCGCAUAAGACCACAAUGCCGCAUGGCGAAGGGGUCAAAGGAGCAAUCCGCUUAAGGAGGGGUUCGCGUCCCAUUAGGUAGUAGGUGAGGUAACGGCUCACCUAGCCGACGAUGGGUAGCCGAGCUGAGAGGCUGAUCGGCCACACUGGAACUGAGACACGGUCCAGACUCCUACGGGAGGCAGCAGUGGGGAAUAUUGGGCAAUGGGCGCAAGCCUGACCCAGCAACGCCGCGUGAGGGAAGAAGGUUUUCGGAUUGUAAACCUCUGUCGCAGAUGACGAAACAAAUGACGGUAAUCUGUGAGGAAGCCCCGGCUAACUACGUGCCAGCAGCCGCGGUAAU